GGUCCGUCGCGUACGUCGUACGAGAGUGUUAGACUCGCGCACGAGACGACGCUGGCGGCGUGCCUAAUACAUGCAAGGUCGGGCGGAGCCCGAGGGGAGCUUGCUCCUUUUCGGGCUCAGCGGCGGACGGGUGAGUAACACGUGGGUAACCUGCCCGUAAGACCGGGAUAACUCCGGGAAACCGGGGCUAAUACCGGAUAACACCGGAGGCCGCAUGGCUUCCGGUUGAAAGGCGGCCUUUGGCUGCCACUUACGGAUGGGCCCGCGGCGCAUUAGCUAGUUGGCGGGGUAACGGCCCACCAAGGCGACAAUGCGUAGCCGGCCUGAGAGGGUGGACGGCCACACUGGGACUGAGACACGGCCCAGACUCCUACGGGAGGCAGCAGUAGGGGAAUCUUCCGCAAUGGGCGAAAGCCUGACGGAGCGACGCCGCGUGAGCGAGGAAGGCCUUCGGGUCGUAAAGCUCUGUUGUCAGGGAAGAAGGCGCGCCGUUCGAAGAGGGCGGCGCGGUGACGGUACCUGACGAGGAAGCCCCGGCUAACUACGUG
rnacentral:rRNA from 1 species